CUACGGGUGGCAGCAGUGGGGAAUAUUGCACAAUGGGCGGAAGCCUGAUGCAGCGACGCCGCGUGAGGGAUGAAGGCCUUCGGGUUGUAAACCUCUUUCAGCAGGGACGAAGCGUGAGUGACGGUACCUGCAGAAGAAGCACCGGCUAACUACGUGCCAGCAGCCGCGGUAUUACGCAGGGUGCGGGCGUUGUCCGGAAUUACUGGGCGUAAAGAGUUCGUAGGCGGUUUGUCGCGUCGUUUGUGAAAACCCGGGGCUCAACUUCGGGCUUGCAGGCGAUACGGGCAGACUUGAGUGUUUCAGGGGAGACUGGAAUUCCUGGUGUAGCGGUGAAAUGCGCAGAUAUCAGGAGGAACACCGGUGGCGAAGGCGGGUCUCUGGGAAACAACUGACGCUGAGGAACGAAAGCGUGGGUAGCAAACAGGAUUAGAUACCCCUGUAGUC
rnacentral:rRNA from 1 species